UACGUAGGGUGCAAGCGUUACUCGGAAUUACUGGGCGUAAAGGGUGCGCAGGCGGUUCUGUAAGUCAGAUGUGAAAUCCCCGGGCUUAACCUGGGAACUGCGUUUGAAACUACAGGACUAGAGUGUGGCAGAGGGAGGUGGAAUUCCAUGUGUAGCAGUGAAAUGCGUAGAGAUAUGGAAGAACAUCGAUGGCGAAGGCAACCUCCUGGGUUAACACUGACGCUCAUGCACGAAAGCGUGGGGAGCAAACAGG
rnacentral:rRNA from 1 species